UCGAAGCUCGUUCAACAAUUUCUGCUCGUUCCAUUUUAACUGCUUAUACAUUUCAUAAAAGUGAUGAGACGAGGCAAUGAAGUUGGAUUUGACCUUGGAGCUCUAGAAAUGCUCAAAAUUGAGGUAGUUCCUUAACCCUUUGUUCUUAACAUGUGUAUUACCUAUCAAUUUUUGCAUAUUUGGGAAGUUUAUAAAUGAUCUCUAUGUAUAUUAUUUUACAGGUAUGUUUUUUCUCUUGCAAAUAAAUAUUUGUAUCUUUUUAUUUUGUGUAUCUUCUAUAUACUUAUCAAUUAUUACAAAAAAAUAUAUCAAAAAAUAAACUUUGACAUAAAGAAUAUUAAAAAAAUACCAUUUUUCUUUUUGAAUAAAUAGUAAUUAUAUUACCUUAAAGGGUAAUUUUAGAAUUUAGUAAGCUUCAAUCUGUGUACCAUAUUACAACAAGAUAAUGACAGCUAAUAUUCAAAAGAGAUAAGCUAAUAUGCAAAAGAGAUAAGAUUGUUGUAAUUCACUAACGAAACAAAAGUCAAAAGGGGUAUAUACUUUCAAACUUUAAAUUCGUAAAUCCGUUGUAGUUGGUGCUUGAUCGACUUAGAGAGAAAACAUAGUUUAUUUUUUUGAAAACCGUUGUCUAAGAGAGAUAAUUUGAUCUUUUUCUAAUGUAUGUCUACUUAGAUGGAAACAUAAUCUUAUUCAGAUUUUAUUACUACAGGGGAGUCAAAUAUUGACAAGAAAUUAGGAAAAAGAAAUUGUUGAAAUAAAAAAAAAAUUGGUAGCAAAGCUGUCACUCAUUGCAACAUUAUCUAGAGCUUACCAUAGCAAAAUUGGAAGACACAUAAAUGAAGGGGGAAGAUUCUAUCAUGAGUAACCUAUAAAUAUACUUCAUAGUUGGUAACUCUAUCAUUUCUUACCUUACAUAAAAAGUUUGUCAUUCAUUCUUCGAAUAUGCAUAAUGCAAAUUUCCCCCCUUCAACUUUAAUACCUUCUCCUGUACUACUUCAUUGCCCUAUAUGCUAUGGAAUAUUUCAUACUCAUUUUGAAUUCAUGGAUCAUGUACAAGUUACUCACCCAUCACUGUCUGAGAAAACAACCAUAUUAGAUUCUCCUGUAUAUAUGCAUCCUGCAUUGUUUUGCCACGCAAUCAGCCAUCAACUCAACCUGUUGUCUCACAACAUAUGAGUUUGCAAGGAAAUAAUAGAGUUGUUGUCCAACCAACAUCUUCGAAUCGUAAUGAGCCUAUCAGAUGGGGUAGAGCACCACCAAUUGAUAGGCAACACUUGGCAAGCAGAAAUAGAAUUGUACCAUCUAGAAGAGGCAGAACUCAACCAUUCAAUAGGCAACAAACGGCAAGAAGGAUCACAGUUGGAGGUUCAAAUUCAACCGUUGCAGAUUUAACUAUAGCUAUUGCUAAUUUUACAAGACCAUUGAUCAAUCACUCAAAUGUUUCGACUUCAUCAAAUGCAGAUGAAUUAGUUAACAUAGCUGAAGAACAAAUGAAUUGGACCUAAACUUGGAGCUUUAAUUAGAGAAAAAAUUAUGUGGAUCAUCUUUAUAAGGGGAUGUCUAUAAAUGUGCUGAGUUUGAAGUCGUGUUUUUUUUAGUUCUGCUACUUUUUUAUAUGUUUGUCUGACUGUGGGGUGUCUUAAAAGUGGAUUCUGUCAUUUUAUUUUAAAUUUAAUUUUUGUCAGGUGUGGUGAGCGGGUCUAGAAUUGUGCUUUUAUUGGAGUCUGUUGUUUUAUUUACAUGUUCAAUUUUGUCGUGAUUUAAAUAAUACAAUCCAUUUAUUUUUGCGGGGUGUCUUAAAAGUAGAUUCUGUCGUUUUAUUUUAAAUUUGAUUUUUUGUCAGGCGUGGUGUGCGUGUCUAGAAUUGUGCUUUUAUUGGAGUCUGUUGUUUUAUUUACUUGUUCAAUUUUGUCGUGAUUUAAAU
rnacentral:lncRNA from 1 species